AUAUGGCUCAGAUGAACGCUGGCGGCAGGCCUAACACAUGCAAGUCGAACGGUAACAGGAAACAGCUUGCUGUUCGCUGACGAGUGGCGGACGGGUGAGUAAUGUCUGGGAAACUGCCUGAUGGAGGGGGAUAACUACUGGAAACGGUAGCUAAUACCGCAUAACGUCGCAAGACCAAAGAGGGGGACCUUCGGGCCUCUUGCCAUCGGAUGUGCCCAGAUGGGAUUAGCUUGUUGGUGGGGUAACGGCUCACCAAGGCGACGAUCCCUAGCUGGUCUGAGAGGAUGACCAGCCACACUGGAACUGAGACACGGUCCAGACUCCUACGGGAGGCAGCAGUGGGGAAUAUUGCACAAUGGGCGCAAGCCUGAUGCAGCCAUGCCGCGUGUAUGAAGAAGGCCUUCGGGUUGUAAAGUACUUUCAGCGGGGAGGAAGGGAGUAAAGUUAAUACCUUUGCUCAUUGACGUUACCCGCAGAAGAAGCACCGGCUAACUCCGUGCCAGCAGCCGC
rnacentral:rRNA from 1 species